rnacentral:lncRNA from 1 species
AAUUUGAAAAUUAGGUAUCACGACUAUGCCACAAAAACCGUACUCAUAGUCAUGAUGAUUUAAUAUUAAUCGUGCCUAAAGAAAACUACGAUGUUCUUGAAUUACUAAAUUCCUAAAUUGGAGAUUAUUGCAAAGGAUCAAAAGGCUAUGGAAUACAACAUUAAAGGAGCGUGAGGUGUGAAUUAUUCAAACCAAACUUCUGAACGCAUUUUUCUAACAGAAAGACGUGAUUACUUCAUCUUGGCAUUUCAUUUUAAAGAUGUUAUCAAUAUCAAGAUCAUUUUAUACUUACAAGAUUUAUAAAAUAAAACAAAUAUUUGAUACCAUGAACAACUAAAAGUUUUGUCAAGUAAAAAAAAACAACAUCUACAACACUAGUCAGACUUGCAUUCUUAUAUAUGGACUGGGCCACAGUGAAUUAAAAAGAAAGCUACGCUCACUGCAAUUUACAAGCAACUGUAUAAGCUUUAUAUCCAUACACAAUCAUUUAACAAUAAACCACAAAUAGUCUAGAGCUUCACCUUUAACUUCAAUGUUUAUAAAUUUUUGGACAACAAACGUAUUAUACACAUUUGACCACUAAAUGGAAAGAAUUAAAGGAGCAUUGCAGAGCCAACGAUUAUCAAAGAUUUACAAAUUACAAAAAUAAAAUGAAACUCAUAUCUCCGUGCCUAUUAACAUUUCAAUAAUACUCUAACACCGUCCAAGUUCAAAGACUAUGAGCAGUAGAUACACUACACCACAAUCAACGAAUUCAGAAGAGUAAAAACUAAUGCAAGGAGUUCUUUUCUCCUUUUUAUUUCUGAGCCCCAAACAAACAAAAAAUUACCAUGAAGUUAAAUAGUUUAAAUCGUUUUUUGAACUAUAACACCAAACUCCAAGCAUAGAUCUCAUUUCAGGCAAAUUUAACAUGUUCACUGGAUAGACAACAACUUUAAUCAACAGAAGACAGACAAUUAGCGUUUGGAACUCAUGGUCACACAACAUCGAAAGUGAGGCAGCAAAUAGUUCAACUUCAUGUAUAUGAUUCAACGGCCAAGAAAAUGUUCAGCUACAUACCUGUUUACAACAAAAUCAACCAAAAAUAAAAAUAAACUUCUGAGAAUGAGAAGGUGCAGCAGCCAAACAGAAACAACAAGAGUGAUUCAAAAUAAACUUCAGCUUUAAACAUAGAAAUCCAAAGAACACUGCUCCAAACUUCAAGUGAAAAUAAAAGAUAUAAGAGUUGAUUCCUUUCAUUCUAACUUUAAGCCUAAAGGAGAAAAGAAAUCAGGAAAAAGACUAAGGGUCCAACCAAUUUCUAAAUUAUCCAUGGUUUCUUCAACUAUCCAAAUCAAGAAAAAUUCAAGAAAGAAGGGGUCCUAUAUAUAGGUGCUCACUCUCCCAUGUGCUGCUAAGGAAUUUUGGAAUAAAAUCUCUACAUCCAACCCCAAAUUUCAGCAUCUUUCAAAACUGAAUAUGGAUAGUUGUUGGACAGUUGUCCAUUCCAGAUAUUUUCACAUAUUUUUUACAUCUAGAACCUUCUUCUUGGGUCUGGGCCAAAUGUCAUGGUCAUAUGGCCCAAGACAGGCCCAAGUGAUUAAUUUCAAAUAACUCAGGCCCUGAUUAAUAGAGCCUUCACUGUCCAACCCAAAACAAAACAUCUAGAUUAACAAAUGAGAUAAAUUACUAUUAAACAAUCCAUCUUAAGCAUCUGAAACUAAUUAAUACGCGAUUAACAAUUAAAUCCAAUUAUCAGCAAUAAAUCUAAGAGAUAUGCAAAUCAGUUAAUAACUAGUUAAUUUGGCUCGAUUAACCUAAAACCUACGCAACUGAACAAUUAGAAUUACUAACUUUAAAGAAACUAAAAACUUAUUCUAACAAAUAAAUAAUAAAACAGAAUAAAAAAAAUAGAAACGAAGAAAGAAAAAGAAAGAGGAAGGGUACUGGUUUUUGCUGGAAUGAAGCGACUCAACGAACGAUGAAGGCGACAAACUUGGUCGAACAUCAGUGGUCUGGUCAGAAGCCGGUGCCUCUCGAAAUGAACCAAGACUAGUGUUAAUCAAUUAUUCUUAACAAGAACAAUUGCUUAACACAACUCUCAAGUCAAAUCGAGCCUUGGAAGCAUAAAAAUCGGAAUUAGGAAUGGCUUAGGUUUUUUUUAAUUUCAGAUUUGAGAUUAAAGAGAAUGGGUAGGGAUUUUGGGGAAACUAAUGAAUGAUUAGUGCUUAGGGGGGGGGUAUGAGGAGUGUAGGGUGAAAAUUAGGGGGUGUUUGGAGAUGGGCCACCGUCAUGGAGCAAUUUUCGGUGGCGGCGAUGGCUGGGGUGUGAGAGGGAUGAGGAAGGUGAGUUGUGGGAGAGUCU